rnacentral:lncRNA from 1 species
GGCCAAGGCGCUACCGCUUGAGCCACAUCCCCAGCCCAACAUCUUUUAUUUGUAUGUGGUGCUGAGGAUCGAACCCGGGCCACACGCAUGCCAGGCGAGCACGCUACUACUUGAGCCACAUCCCCAGCCCCCCUUCAUUUGAUUUUUACCCUACAAAAAUAUAUAUAUAAAUUUGGCCAAAGUUGUUUAGAGAAGGACUGUUAGUUAGGUACUGACAAUAUCUUUUUUUUUUUUUUUAACCCCAGUACUUAAACCCUAGGUGCUUUACCACUGAACUGCAUCUCAGCUCUUAUUUUUUUAAUUAAUAUUUUUAUUUUUAAAAAUUAAUACAGAUUCUCAGAAAAGUUGCCAAGACUAGCCUGGAACUUGAAUCCUCCUGGCUCAGCCUCCCAAGUUGCUGGGAAUAGAGGUGUACACUACUGUAUCUGGCUGCUACUGAGCUACUUUAAUUGUUGCUUUUUAUCAUUUGUGAAGGAGUCUUUCCCAUGAGUUUUAAAGAUACUUGACAUUUGAGAAGGAAUCACCUAUGAUAUUUAUAAAUACCUAAAUUUGUUAUUACCUCUACAGGGUAUAAUUUUCUCUGUAAAAUUCUUAGAUUCUGCAUCUAGCUUAGAGUCACAUAAUUGUGUUGUGCUAUAAAUACCAGAGAAACAGUCAAACUUAGUGACCAAGUGGGCAACUUCUAUGCACCAACCAUCUAGGGAUUAUGUGCCAAAUGUUUAAUUCAGAACAUUGAAAAUACACACAGGUAGGUCUUUGGGCUAUCUUAGAAUAGUUAAAACUAUAUUAAAUGUGAGUGCUCAAGUUAUCUUACAGUAAUGGGAAGAAUGUUCUAAACUACAUGCCAUCUUUCCCACUACCUGGAUUCUUCUAUGCCCCUUCCCAGUCUUCCCAGAUUCGAAGUCACCACAAUGUGCAAUUACCGAUGGGACUUUUGUGUCUGAUGUCAUGGGUGUUUUGAGACAGAAGAAAGGUUGAAAAUGACUGUUCCAUGUUGUUAACCUCACACUCUCCACCCACGGAUUUGAAGGAUGCUUUGCUUUCCGUUGAAGAGGCGAAUGGAUUAAAAAAAUGUGGCAUUUAUACACAAUGGAGUAUUACUCUGCAUUAAAAAAUGACAAAAUCAUAGAAUUUACAGGGAAAUGGAUGG